UUCAUCUCUCAUCUUUUCCAAUCGCCUCCAAACCACUUCCUCUUGUCUCUGUAAACUUGUUUUCUGAUUUUUCCAAAUAUUAUAAACAAAAUUUUGAUAUAAUCUUUCAAACAUUAAAUUCAUCUACGUAUCAUGCGUCAUCGUUCGAUCACAAUGUCACUGGAAUUAUGAAUAAACAUAUAAAUAAUGAAGAAAAUGCUCCAUUAAAUGCUGACAGGGAGUUGGACGUUCUCGUGGGCUGUCACAGUUGAUCUCUCCCACCCAAUGCUGAGUUUAUACUUGCACUCCAACUACAUGCGGCAUGCAUUCAUUAAGGUCUGUGACGGGUUUAAGGUUUUAAAACUCCCGUACAAGGAUACAUGCCAGAUAUCCAUGUACAUCCUUCUUCCAUAUGCUAAAGACGGGCGCCAUAAUUGGUCGAUAAACUUGCCACGGGGACAGGAUUCCUUGAGCACCUGCACAUUCCAAUUGCUCUGAGGGACUUGGCGAGUUCUGGGUUCCCAAAUUUAAAGUGUCAUUUGGAUUCGAAGCAACUGAGGCUUUAAAGGAAUUUGGAUUGAGGGAACCUUUUAUUCCGGGAGGACUUAAUACGAUGAUGGACUCUGAGAGGAAUAAGCUCCUUUAUGUUUUCAAACAUACUUCAGAAAUCAAACAAGUAAACUGUAGAUUGUAUUUUGAUGUCCAACGCUUAAAAUAUGUUGGAAGCACAGAUAGGUUUAUAAAGUUAUUGAUGCUGCUAGGUAUCAUCACGACAAGCUGUUCUUGAGCUUCUGUAAAAAACAUAUCAGAAUUUUAAUUUCACAAGAUCCUGAAAAGAGGGAAAGGAAAAAGGAGUCAUCACUUACAAAAGUACCAAUAUUUUGUAAAAAAAUUCUUAUUAUAUUUUACGUAUAAUAAUAAAA